GUGUGCUCCCCCUGUCCCCAGGCAUCUUUCCUGGGAUGGGGGAGACAGGUGGGCAGGAGUCAGCUCCUUCGGCUAGGCUCGACACCACACUCCUGGCCUCUGAGAACUGCCAGAGAGCACUCCAGGUAUGUGCCAGAUGGAUCAGACCUGAAGAAAGCUCCUCCAAAGCUGAGCCUAACUGUGCCUGACACCUCCAGGAGGUCUGUCAGCUGUCUGCAGAGUGGGAGCACGGGAAUUCCUGUUGGAGAGAGCAGAAGGUGGAAUGGGUGGCGUGGGAAGCCUGGGCUGCCAGGGAGGAUCAGCAGGUGCCCCAGGUAUCUGGCCCUGGAGGUCCUUGGGCUCCCCAUCCUUCACUUCAGCCCCAGAGAAAGGGGGUCACUGUGACAUGGGGGAGGGUUGGAACCCCCCUCCCUGUGGACGAGAUGGUGGAGAGAUUCCAGCCUGGGACCAGGCACCUUUCCCCACGAGCCAUCCAGGUGCUCCAUGCGCUGGAGCCACAUCAGACACGGAGGAACAUCUUCACGUUUUUGGCUGAGAACAAGCGACGGCGGCAGGAGCAACAGAAGCAGC